AGAGACAGCAGUAGCCACGGUAAUACGAGGGGAGCUAGCGUUGUUCGGAAUUACUGGCGUAAAGCGCGCGUAGGCGGCUUUUUAAGUCAGAGGUGAAAGCCCGGGGCUCAACCCCGGAAUUGCCUUUGAAACUGGAAAGCUAGAAUCUUGGAGAGGUCAGUGGAAUUCCGAGUGUAGAGGUGAAAUUCGUAGAUAUUCGGAAGAACACCAGUGGCGAAGGCGACUGACUGGACAAGUAUUGACGCUGAGGUGCGAAAGCGUGGGGAGCAUACAGGAUUAGAUACCCCAGUAGUCCCUGUCUCUUAUACA
rnacentral:rRNA from 1 species